rnacentral:tRNA from 1 species
GAGGUUGUAGCUCAGGGGUAGAGUGCUUGCCUAGCAUGCAUGAGGCGCUGGGUUCGAUCCCUGGGACCACA